rnacentral:rRNA from 1 species
UACGAAGGGGGCUAGCGUUGCUCGGAAUCACUGGGCGUAAAGCGCACGUAGGCGGACUCUUAAGUCGGUGGUGAAAUCCUGGAGCUCAACUCCAGAACUGCCUUCGAUACUGGGAGUCUCGAGUUCGGGAGAGGUGAGUGGAACUGCGAGUGUAGAGGUGAAAUUCGUAGAUAUUCGCAAGAACACCAGUGGCGAAGGCGGCGCACUGGCCCGAUACUGACGCUGAGGUGCGAAAGCGUGGGGAGCAAACAGG